GCCUCUGUAGCUCAGUUGGUUAGAGCGCUGCACCGGAAUCGCAGGGCCGUAGGUUCAAUUCCUACCAGAGGACA
rnacentral:tRNA from 1 species